rnacentral:rRNA from 1 species
UGGCUGGGGGUGAAAGGCCAAUCAAACCGGGAGAUAGCUGGUUCUCCCCGAAAGCUAUUUAGGUAGCGCCUCGUGAAUUCAUCUCCGGGGGUAGAGCACUGUUUCGGCAAGGGGGUCAUCCCGACUUACCAACCCGAUGCAAACUGCGAAUACCGGAGAAUGUUAUCACGGGAGACACACGGCGGGUGCUAACGUCCGUCGUGAAGAGGGAAACAACCCAGACCGCCAGCUAAGGUCCCAAAGUCAUGGUUAAGUGGGAAACGAUGUGGGAAGGCCCAGACAGCCAGGAUGUUGGCUUAGAAGCAGCCAUCAUUUAAAGAAAGCGUAAUAGCUCACUGGUCGAGUCGGCCUGCGCGGAAGAUGUAACGGGGCUAAACCAUGCACCGAAGCUGCGGCAGCGACGCUUAUGCGUUGUUGGGUAGGGGAGCGUUCUGUAAGCCUGUGAAGGUGUGCUGUGAGGCAUGCUGGAGGUAUCAGAAGUGCGAAUGCUGACAUAAGUAACGAUAAAGCGGGUGAAAAGCCCGCUCGCCGGAAGACCAAGGGUUCCUGUCCAACGUUAAUCGGGGCAGGGUGAGUCGACCCCUAAGGCGAGGCCGAAAGGCGUAGUCGAUGGGAAACAGGUUAAUAUUCCUGUACUUGGUGUUACUGCGAAGGGGGGACGGAGAAGGCUAUGUUGGCCGGGCGACGGUUGUCCCGGUUUAAGCGUGUAGGCUGGUUUUCCAGGCAAAUCCGGAAAAUCAAGGCUGAGGCGUGAUGACGAGGCACUACGGUGCUGAAGCAACAAAUGCCCUGCUUCCAGGAAAAGCCUCUAAGCAUCAGGUAACAUCAAAUCGUACCCCAAACCGACACAGGUGGUCAGGUAGAGAAUACCAAGGCGCUUGAGAGAACUCGGGUGAAGGAACUAGGCAAAAUGGUGCCGUAACUUCGGGAGAAGGCACGCUGAUAUGUAGGUGAAGUCCCUUGCGGAUGGAGCUGAAAUCAGUCGAAGAUACCAGCUGGCUGCAACUGUUUAUUAAAAACACAGCACUGUGCAAACACGAAAGUGGACGUAUACGGUGUGACGCCUGCCCGGUGCCGGAAGGUUAAUUGAUGGGGUCAGCGCAAGCGAAGCUCUUGAUCGAAGCCCCGGUAAACGGCGGCCGUAACUAUAACGGUCCUAAGGUAGCGAAAUUCCUUGUCGGGUAAGUUCCGACCUGCACGAAUGGCGUAAUGAUGGCCAGGCUGUCUCCACCCGAGACUCAGUGAAAUUGAACUCGCUGUGAAGAUGCAGUGUACCCGCGGCAAGACGGAAAGACCCCGUGAACCUUUACUAUAGCUUGACACUGAACAUUGAGCCUUGAUGUGUAGGAUAGGUGGGAGGCUUUGAAGUGUGGACGCCAGUCUGCAUGGAGCCGACCUUGAAAUACCACCCUUUAAUGUUUGAUGUUCUAACGUGGACCCGUGAUCCGGGUUGCGGACAGUGUCUGGUGGGUAGUUUGACUGGGGCGGUCUCCUCCUAAAGAGUAACGGAGGAGCACGAAGGUUGGCUAAUCCUGGUCGGACAUCAGGAGGUUAGUGCAAUGGCAUAAGCCAGCUUGACUGCGAGCGUGACGGCGCGAGCAGGUGCGAAAGCAGGUCAUAGUGAUCCGGUGGUUCUGAAUGGAAGGGCCAUCGCUCAACGGAUAAAAGGUACUCCGGGGAUAACAGGCUGAUACCGCCCAAGAGUUCAUAUCGACGGCGGUGUUUGGCACCUCGAUGUCGGCUCAUCACAUCCUGGGGCUGAAGUAGGUCCCAAGGGUAUGGCUGUUCGCCAUUUAAAGUGGUACGCGAGCUGGGUUUAGAACGUCGUGAGACAGUUCGGUCCCUAUCUGCCGUGGGCGCUGGAGAACUGAGGGGGGCUGCUCCUAGUACGAGAGGACCGGAGUGGACGCAUCACUGGUGUUCGGGUUGUCAUGCCAAUGGCACUGCCCGGUAGCUAAAUGCGGAAGAGAUAAGUGCUGAAAGCAUCUAAGCACGAAACUUGCCCCGAGAUGAGUUCU